UACCUAGUCCUGGCCCUGUUCCUCUGCUAGCAUGUAUCUCACUGUGACCUGACUGGCCAGUCCGGACCUGACCUGAUCAAGUAGCAUCUCCAGUCCAGCGCUGUCAAGAUCUGCCCCAUGCCCUGACUGUGCUCUGCCACAGUGACAGCCAGCUACAGCAAACGUUGAUGAGGUAAAGAAUCGUUGGCAGAGAUGCAGGGACCAGUUCCACAAAGAGAUGCACCACCAGGGACGGAGUGGUUCCGGGCCGCCAAAGAAAAGGCCAUGUUCCUCCGCUGAGGUCAUGGAGCUGUGUCCAACGGAGGACAACCUAGAGGAUGAAGGGGAUGAGUCUGCUCCGCUGCUCUCCAGUGCCUGUGAGGAAGACACUCCCUCUGGGGCAGCGCAGGUGGAGAGUGCCCCAGGACCAAGCACGGCACCUUCCAGGCCACCAGCUGUUUCUGGAGGCGAUUCCGCCCCCCUCCUUUGGUUCUACCCAGCCGGCCAUCCCUCCUGCCGAAUCUCUCAUCAACACCCAGGUACUUUAUUAUUUAUCGAGAGCCCGGCAGGAGGAUGCGUUUGACUUGUAUGCCCAUAGUCUGGCCUCUUAUUUGCGGUGGCUGCCUCCAGAACGAGUCCUGAGAACCAAAUCGUCUCUUGGAAUCGUUCUGGAUGCAGCCAAUCCCCCCAACGAUCCUAUAGAAAUCUUUGGAGCCCUGGAAAAUUGGCGCCUCCAUGGGAACAUGUUUGGCCCCCAGCCAAUUCCAAUUUCCCAGGGCUCACACCCUCUACCACCACC